rnacentral:rRNA from 1 species
AUCUACGGCCAUGCCACCCUGAACAAGCCCGAUGUCUGAUCGCGGAAGCUAAGCAGGGUCAGGCCUGGUUAGUACUUGGAUGGGAGACCACCUAGGAAGACCAGGUGCUGUAGGCA